rnacentral:rRNA from 1 species
UACGUAGGGUGCAAGCGUUGUCCGGAAUUAUUGGGCGUAAAGAGCUCGUAGGCGGUUUGUCGCGUCUGCUGUGAAAACUCGGGGCUUAACUCCGGGCCUGCAGUGGGUACGGGCAGACUAGAGUGCGGUAGGGGAGACUGGAAUUCCUGGUGUAGCGGUGAAAUGCGCAGAUAUCAGGAGGAACACCGGUGGCGAAGGCGGUUCUCUGGGCAUGAUCUGACGCUGAGGAGCGAAAGUGUGGGGAGCGAACAGG